CUCUAUACGGAGUUACAAAGGACGACAUUAGACGAAUCAUCUGGAAAGAUGAAUCAAAGAAGGUAAUAAUCCUGUAGUCGAAAAUGUUGUCUCUCUUGAGUGGAUCCUGAGUACGACGGAGCACGUGAAAUUCCGUCGGAAUCUGGGAGGACCAUCUCCUAAGGCUAAAUACUCUCUAGUGACCGAUAGUGAACCAGUACCGUGAGGGAAAGGUGAAAAGCACCCCGGAAGGGGAGUGAAAUAGAACCUGAAACCGUGUGCUUACAAGUAGUCAGAGCCCGUUAAUGGGUGAUGGCGUGCCUUUUGUAGAAUGAACCGGCGAGUUACGAUUUGAUGCAAGGUUAAGCAGUAAAUGUGGAGCCGUAGCGAAAGCGAGUCUGAAUAGGGCGUUUAGUAUUUGGUCGUAGACCCGAAACCAGGUGAUCUACCCUUGGUCAGGUUGAAGUUCAGGUAACACUGAAUGGAGGACCGAACCGACUUACGUUGAAAAGUGAGCGGAUGAACUGAGGGUAGCGGAGAAAUUCCAAUCGAACCUGGAGAUAGCUGGUUCUCUCCGAAAUAGCUUUAGGGCUAGCCUCAAGUGAUGAUUAUUGGAGGUAGAGCACUGUUUGGACGAGGGGCCCCUCUCGGGUUACCGAAUUCAGACAAACUCCGAAUGCCAAUUAAUUUAACUUGGGAGUCAGAACAUGGGUGAUAAGGUCCGUGUUCGAAAGGGAAACAGCCCAGACCACCAGCUAAGGUCCCAAAAUAUAUGUUAAGUGGAAAAGGAUGUGGCGUUGCCCAGACAACUAGGAUGUUGGCUUAGAAGCAGCCAUCAUUUAAAG
rnacentral:rRNA from 1 species